UCGCUUUUGCCACCGGGUAAAAGCUGCAAGGUGUUCACAGCAUUCCGUUAGGUCUAAGAAGGAAUGCUAUGAGCACCUUGUUUUUC
rnacentral:ncRNA from 1 species